ACCAGCAGACGAGUCUCAAAUAGGAUGAUACGCUCGUCCUGGAU
rnacentral:hammerhead_ribozyme from 1 species